CAGCCGCCACGGUAAUACAGAGGGUGCGAGCGUUAAUCGGAUUUACUGGGCGUAAAGAGUGCGUAGGCGGCUUCUUAAGUCGGAUGUGAAAUCCCUGAGCUUAACUUAGGAAUUGCAUUCGAUACUGGGAAGCUAGAGUAUGGGAGAGGAUGGUAGAAUUCCAGGUGUAGCGGUGAAAUGCGUAGAGAUCUGGAGGAAUACCGAUGGCGAAGGCAGCCAUCUGGCCUAAUACUGACGCUGAGGUACGAAAGCAUGGGGAGCAAACAGGAUUAGAUACCCCUGUAGUCCCUGUCUCUUAUAC
rnacentral:rRNA from 1 species